rnacentral:rRNA from 1 species
UAUACAUGCAAGUCGAGCGAAUCUGAGGGAGCUUGCUCCCAAAGAUUAGCGGCGGACGGGUGAGUAACACGUGGGCAACCUGCCUGUAAGACUGGGAUAACUCCGGGAAACCGGGGCUAAUACCGGAUAAUAUCUAUUUAUACAUAUAAUUAGAUUGAAAGAUGGUUCUGCUAUCACUUACAGAUGGGCCCGCGGCGCAUUAGCUAGUUGGUGAGGUAACGGCUCACCAAGGCGACGAUGCGUAGCCGACCUGAGAGGGUGAUCGGCCACACUGGGACUGAGACACGGCCCAGACUCCUACGGGAGGCAGCAGUAGGGAAUCUUCCGCAAUGGACGAAAGUCUGACGGAGCAACGCCGCGUGAGUGAUGAAGGUUUUCGGAUCGUAAAACUCUGUUGUUAGGGAAGAACAAGUACCGGAGUAACUGCCGGUACCUUGACGGUACCUAACCAGAAAGCCACGGCUAACUACGUGCCAGCAGCCGCGGUAAUACGUAGGUGGCAAGCGUUGUCCGGAAUUAUUGGGCGUAAAGCGCGCGCAGGCGGUUCCUUAAGUCUGAUGUGAAAGCCCACGGCUCAACCGUGGAGGGUCAUUGGAAACUGGGGAACUUGAGUGCAGAAGAGGAAAGUGGAAUUCCAAGUGUAGCGGUGAAAUGCGUAGA